rnacentral:rRNA from 1 species
AGUGGGGAAUAUUGGACAAUGGGCGCAAGCCUGAUCCAGCAAUACCGCGUGUGUGAAGAAGGCCUGAGGGUUGUAAAGCACUUUCAAUUGGGAGGAAUACCUAGUGAUUAAUACUCGCUAGAUUGACAUUACCUUUAGAAGAAGCACCGGCUAACUCCGUGCCAGCAGCCGCGGUAAUACGGAGGGUGCAAGCGUUAAUCGGAAUUACUGGGCGUAAAGCGUUCGUAGGCGGUUGUCUAAGUUAGAUGUGAAAGCCCUGGGCUUAACCUGGGAAUUGCAUUUAAAACUGGGUGACUAGAGUUUGGGAGAGGAGAGUGGAAUUUCAGGUGUAGCGGUGAAAUGCGUAGAGAUCUGAAGGAACACCAGUGGCGAAGGCGGCUCUCUGGACUAAAACUGACGCUGAGGAACGAAAGCAUGGGUAGCAAACGGGAUUAGAUACCCCGGUAGUCCAUGCCGUAAACGAUGUCAACUAACUGUUGGGUACUUAGGUACUUAGUGGUGGAGCU